rnacentral:lncRNA from 1 species
UUAAAUUCAAAUCGCAUCUCAUUAAAAUAUAUAUAAUUCACUUAUUAUUAAUCUAAUCUAAAUAAAGUUUAGUUUUUUGAGCUUAACUCAAUUUAAAACUUCAAAUUAUUAAAUUCUAUAAAUAAAAUCUUGAAAAAUAUAAGAGUCGAAUCAAAGAAGAAAAAAAUUGGCUGCUUGAUGCAAUCAAUCCUUCAAAAUCCUUAUCUACAAAUUAACUUGAAUCUUUCUUAUCACAAAUCUUCUUCUUACAUGCUAAGACUUAUUGAAAAGCUAACAAUGAGCUCUCUCUUCUUUCAUAUUCUCAAAAUAAAAAGAAAAAAACUCAAUAAAUGGCAUAGAAAGUUCCAAACUAGUCUUGAAUUCUACCGCCUCAAAACUCUAGCAAAUCUCCUCCAAUAAAUUUAUGUGAAUUUUCUUUAUUAUAGCUCUUCUUCUUAUAUAAAAUGACUUGUUAAAGAGCUAAUAAUAAGAUCCAGCUUCUUUUAAAAUUUCAAAACAAAAAGAUGAAA